rnacentral:rRNA from 1 species
GAUGAACGCUGGCGGCGUGCUUAACACAUGCAAGUCGAGCGAGAAGUUUUGAAAAGAUUCUUCGGAUGAAAUUUAAAAUGGAAAGCGGCGGACGGGUGAGUAACGCGUAGGCAACCUGCCCCAUACAAAGGGAUAGCAUUUGGAAACGAAUAUUAAUACCUUAUGAAACUUAACUAGUGCAUGCUAGGUAGGUCAAAGAUUUAUCGGUAUGGGAUGGGCCUGCGUCUGAUUAGCUAGUUGGUGAGGUAACGGCUCACCAAGGCGACGAUCAGUAGCCGACCUGAGAGGGUGAACGGCCACAUUGGAACUGAGACACGGUCCAAACUCCUACGGGAGGCAGCAGUGGGGAAUAUUGCACAAUGGGGGAAACCCUGAUGCAGCAACGCCACGUGAACGAUGAAGGCCUUUGGGUCGUAAAGUUCUGUUCUAGGUGAUGAAAACUGACAGUAACCUAGGAGAAAGCCCCGGCUAACUCCGUG